UACGGGGGGAGCAAGCGUUGUUCGGAUUUACUGGGCGUAAAGGGCGCGUAGGCGGCACUGCAAGUCAGUUGUGAAAUCUCCGGGCUUAACCCGGAAAGGUCAACUGAUACUGCAGGGCUAGAGUGCAGAAGGGGCAACUGGAAUUUCCGGUGUAGCGGUGAAAUGCGUAGAGAUCAGGAGGAAUACCGGUGGCGAAAGCGACUCUCUGGACGGCAACUGACGCUGAGGCGCGAAAGCGUGGGGAGCAAACAGG
rnacentral:rRNA from 1 species